CCUACGGGAGGCAGCAGUGGGGAAUUUUGGACAAUGGGCGAAAGCCUGAUCCAGCCAUGCCGCGUGAGUGAAGAAGGCCUUCGGGUUGUAAAGCUCUUUCGGCCGGGACGAAAUCGCACGAGUGAAUAUCGCGUGUGGAUGACGGUACCGGCAGAAGAAGGACCGGCUAACUACGUGCCAGCAGCCGCGGUAAUACGUAGGGUCCGAGCGUUAAUCGGAAUUACUGGGCGUAAAGCGUGCGCAGGUGGUUUUGUAAGCCAGAUGUGAAAGCCCCGGGCUUAACCUGGGAACUGCAUUUGGGACUGCAAGGCUAGAGUACGGCAGAGGGGGGUAGAAUUCCUGGUGUAGCAGUGAAAUGCGUAGAUAUCAGGAGGAAUACCGAUGGCGAAGGCAGCCCCCUGGGUCGAUACUGACGCUCAUGCACGAAAGCGUGGGGAGCAAACAGGAUUAGAUACCCUGGUAGUCCACGCCCUAAACGAUGUCAACUAGUGUUGGGGGCCUUACCGCCCUUAGUAACGCAGCUAACGCGUGAAGUUGACCGCCUGGGGAUACGGUCGCAAAGAUUAAAACUCAAAANAGAGUAGACGCGUGAGAGNGCCGAAGGACGACGACGAGGGAGGAGG
rnacentral:rRNA from 1 species